rnacentral:lncRNA from 9 species
AAGCACUAUUGCGCUUCUUCAUUUUUUUUUUUUCUUCUCCAUUUCAAGCUAAGAGAAAGGAGGAAGAGAGGCAGAAAAGGAGUCAAAGAAGGACGGUGGAAAGGAGAGAGGAAGGAAAACGAAGGUUCCAGGAAAGACUCCAACCACCUGAGGAAGCGCUGGCUGCUCCCUCUCCUCCUUCCCAGAACACUGACUUCUCCAGUUCUCCCAGUGGCAUACCAACUUCUACCCUUUCUCUAUCCCAUUUUCAGAUUUCCAGUUCUUACAAAAUUUCUUUGAGGCUCACCCAAGCUUAAAGCUGAUGAACCACAGAACAGGUUGGAACCAGAGCUGUGUCUUAAAAAUAGGAAUCAUUUCUAAAUUAAUUGACUUGAAGUCAAUACUUUCCCACCAUGAAGCCUAUUACAUAAAUGAAUAAAACUAUAGAGUAAUGAAUUAAAGCUAAUUUUGCAUUUUGGACCAUUUGCCAUAUUUGACUCACAAAUUUCACAUUUAAAUAAAGGAAGUUGGGGUUGAAAUAGAAAACCAUUAUAGGGAGAAAAAAGAAAAAAUACUUAAUAGAAAUUUAAUUAUCAACAGUAAGUAUAUUUCUCUUAAAAGGAAAAUAAAUUACUUUUGACAAGAGUGUUCAAACAAGUGACUUAUGACAAUACUAGUUAUGCAUUAAAAUAUGAGUGGGU